GUAGGGACCAAAAUGUGUUUUUCGCCUAUAAUAAAAUUAUAUAUCUUAAGAAUUCGUGGCUCAAGGAACUAAUGUUUAUCAUUGAUAAGCAAGGUAGCAGCCUCUUUUUCAUCCGCUUAAGGAUGAGGUUUCUAUGAAGAUUCAAGAUAACCAAGAGCAAGGGAUUGUGUUGUUUAACAAAAGAAGAGUGAAGUUAGAAAAGAAGAAGAACAACGACAGCAUUUUGAUAAAUGACAAGAAGAAUAAAUUAAAGGAAACGAUGUCAUUCCAUUGAAAGCAAGAAGAUACAAGACACGUGUUGGAGAGUUUAAGCUCAUGAUUAGUUUGUUAGUUUGUUACUGCUUGUACAGAUGUCAGUCACUUAUUGGUGUGUUUAGAAAUUACCUAGUUAGCUUGUUUUGGCUCCAACUUAAUGCUCUGGUAAUUGUAUAUAUAUAGCAAAGCUUAGUGUAAUUAUUUCUGAUGCUUUCUAAUUCAUUUUCUCAGUAAUAAAAUCUCAGAUUCAGAAAGCUCUCUCAAUUUUACAUGGUAUCAGAGCUCUAAAGCUCAUCAAUGGCUUCCAAUGUUUCUUCCAGUUCUGAAAUUACUGCUCAAACUACACAACCUGCUUCUAGUUCUCCAUUAAUGGAUGAUACUAAUCCCAAAAGCCCUUACUUGUUUCUAUCCCUGAGUGGUAGAAACAAGUUUGGUUUUGUUAGAUGCUUGGAAUAGGGCAAAUACAACCAUUCUCUCAUGGUUAACCAAUUCCUUAAGCAAAGACAUCGCAGCAAGUGUGAUGUACAUCAACACUACAAGGGAUCUUUAGAUUGACAUACGAGACAGAUUCUCACAUGGAAAUGCUCCAAGAUUCUUUGAGGUGCAGAAGGGGAUUUCUAGGCUUUCACAAGGGCAACUUUCAGUGAGUUCUUACUUUACAAGAUUCAAGAUUCUAUGGGAUGAGCUUGUCAAUUAUCGAUCUUUUUCUGUCUGCACUUGCACUUGUAUUUGUGGUUCUCAACAAUCUCAAUCAGAUGCACAACUUAAAGAUCAAGUUUUUCAUUUUCUCAUGGGGCUAAAUGAUAGCUAUGGACAUGUUAGAACUCAAAUCUUGAUAACUGAGCCUCUUCCAAACAUAAGCAAGGUGUAUUCUUUAAUUUUACAAGAGUAAAAGCGUAGAAAAAUAGGUUAGAUUAUUGAGGUGAUUUUUGAACCAAUAGCUAUGUAUGUGACUCAUCCCAAUUCUAAGGGAAAUCAGGGCCAUCAAAGCUAUCAAGGUAGUGGAAAUCAAAAUUAUCAAGGGGGAAAUCAUGUUUAUCAAGGAGGAAAAGGGGGGAAUACAAAGAAGGAGAGACCUAUUUGCACAUACUGUGGUUUUAUGGGCCAUAUAGCUGAUAAAUGCUAUAAACUUCAUGGCUACCCACCUAGUUAUAAGCCAAAAGGAAAGCUCUCAGGAAAUCAAGUUUCCAGCAAUGGAUCUUUUGGAAAUUGCCCUCCUACCAAUGCCUGCUUUGGGAAUUUUGGAAACUUUGUUUCUUAACCAUCCCCUAAUCUUGCUAAUUCUAUUGAGAUGAUGCAAUACUCCCCACAAUUUCAUGGUUCACAACAUCCACAAACUCAAUCACAGAUUUCUAUGCCACAGCCACAGUACAGUGCACCUCAAUGCCCCAUCUCACAAACUCAAUGUGAGCAGUUGCUUUCUUUACUCACUUCUCAGAAUUACAAGGACGUUUCUGGACACCAAGCAAACUUUGUCAACAAUUUUUCAGGACCUUGUUCAUUGGAACACGAUUGGUCUAGGUAGGGAAUCAAGAGGUCUCUACUUGUUGCAGUAGCACACUCUUUUAACCAAACCUCAUUCUGUUUUAGCUACUUCUUUUGAUUCACAGUCUUUUAAUAACUCCAACUUAUGGCAUUUUAGACUAAGUCAUCCUUCUCAUGCCAAGUUGAGUUUGUUGAAUAAUGUUGCACCUAAUGUACAUAUUAAUAAAAUACAGUGUUGUGAUGUAUGUCAUUUUCUAAGCAAAAGAGAUUGCCAGUUGCUUUUACUCUUCAUGUUUCUAAAUUUCCAUUUCAGCUCAUUCAUUGUGAUCUAUGGGGGCCUUUCUCCACCCCCACCAUUGAAGGCUUAAGGUUCUUUCUUACUAUUGUGGAUGAUUUUUCAAAAUGUACUUGGGUUUAUUUAUUGAAAUCCAAAGCUAAAAUAUCUGCUUUGAUUCAAAAAAUUUCAGCCAUGGUUGAGACACAAUUUGAUUCCAAAAUCAAAUGUAUUAGGAGUGAUAAUGGAACUAAGUUCAAAAAAAAAAAAAAAAAAAAAAAAAAAAAA